UUCAAAUAAUAAAUUGAAAACAAAUUUUCUUAAUGUCAACAUUAAUUAAAUUUAUUCCAAUUUAUAUAAUACUUUCAAUAACUAAGAUUAAUUCAUGAAUAAUCACCGUACAACUGUGUAGAAGGAAAAGUUGAGGAUGAGAUCGAUAUCGAUAUCUACGGAGGGCGAAAAAAUAGUCUGCGAAACGAGCGGUGAAAGUUGGCCGAUUCGUUCGAAUUCGAAGGAAACAAAGGCGGCGAACAAAAGGAAGAUAAGGGUCGAUACGUUGCGUAGCGGGAUCUCAAUUAGACUUCUCGAUUUCCCUCGACAUCCGCGUACCGUUUCACGCGAUUAACGCCAGUCCUCCGCGAAGGAAUACGCGUGAAAGUAAUAUCAGAGAUUUAAUUCUAACCGAUCUCUUUUUCCAGCUGCCCUGUCACGAUCCUUAUCCGCGAAUAAUAAUUCCAUUUGUUAAUUAACUCAUUCGUGGAAUUAAAAAAAACCUCUUUACUUCUCAAAUAAUGUGAUUUUUGAAAAUCACAUUUCUCUCUAAACUAAACUAAAAAUUAAUAUAAUAAUCCUGUAUUAAUAAAAAGCAAAAAUUACUCGCAUAAACUUUCUCGCAGAGGCGGAGCGAAAACUUUUUUUUCUUUUUUACCCUUCGAGAAACUUCGUUCGAGGCGAAGAUAGAAUCGCGACGCGUGUUGUUAAACGCUAUCAAGCUUAUCCAGUUUAUCUCCCGUGGCAGGAGCCUAGCGCACGCGAGCACGCGCCGCCGCUAAACGGACAAGAUAAUAUAGAGGGAAGGAGAUUUAACGCGGUGUGUGCCCGAGUAACACCGAUCGAGCCCGAGUCCCGCCGAUUAUUUACGACCGGGUUUGGCGGAUCGAGACGGGCCGCGGAUUGAGACCUCGCUGGACGACGUGAGAUCGGGAUGAAAAUCGUUAGGAUAAAUCGAAAGUGGAUAAUUUGCGCCCUCCUUGUCCAUAAGUCAAUUGGACAUUUGAAUGACGAUGCGUCUCGGGAUAUAUGGAUAAAUGAACGAUAUCGAUGGCUUCUUGGUUUAAAGCUCGAAACGAUCCACGUUUACGCGGUGAAUUUAAAAUAUUUACAUGGAAGUGUAACGAUUUUGCUUGAAAAAGAGAAGCGAAUGAUGAAUGAUAAACUCGGUUAUAUAAUUUUAAUCCACCACGUGAACGCAUGGGAAAUUUUUAUAAUUUAAAAGUGAAAGUGCUUUUAAUAUAUAAAGAAGAAAGAGAGAGCGAAACUAUCAUCGACGAUAUACCUGCGGUGAUCGAUGGUUCGUCUUCGAGGGCGGAACAAAAAACGAGUGUCUCAAGGUUUAUCGCUUCGUUGGAUGGUUAUCGGCACGCUAAUUGGACGACGAAACGUCACCACGAUUAUAAAAGAUCGUCCAAUGCCAUCCUCGAUUAUUCGUCCCUAUUAACGGCGAUUAAUAUCGAUCGAGUCGCGUAUCUUCCGCGUGAUUAAAUAAUAAAGAGUUGUCCCUUGCUACUUUA